rnacentral:rRNA from 1 species
UACGAAGGGGGCUAGCGUUGCUCGGAAUCACUGGGCGUAAAGCGCACGUAGGCGGACUCUUAAGUCGGUGGUGAAAUCCCGGGGCUCAACCUCGGAACUGCCUUUGAUACUGCAAGUCUCGAGUCCGAUAGAGGUGAGUGGAAUUCCUAGUGUAGAGGUGAAAUUCGUAGAUAUUAGGAAGAACACCAGUGGCGAAGGCGGCUCACUGGAUCGGUACUGACGCUGAGGUGCGAAAGCGUGGGGAGCAAACAGG